AGAUAAUCUUGGAUGGAAAAUAUAAACUUCAACCGUAACUCCAUUACCAAAACAUGAAUCAGCUGAUAAAGAUUACAAUAUAUGUAUAAAUACGUGUAUGUAUGUCAUGUGUAAAUGUGUGUGUAUUUAAAGAGCUUUGACAGAAAAUAUACAGUACAGUAUUUUGAGGUUAAGAAUUUUUGUUAUUGUAUAUAUUUCGGAAGUUUUGAUAACAAACAAACACACGCGGUAACUGUCAAAAUAAAUAUAUUAAGAUGAGAGAUAGUGAUUACUUGGCAAGAUCAACAAAUACUUCAAGUACUUCUUCUAUUAUUGAUCUUGUUGUUGAACCAGCGAAAAAAAAAUUUCCAUUUUGUAUUGUAUGGACACCAAUACCAUUUCUUACAUAUUUUUUUCCAUUUAUUGGACAUAUGGGAAUAGCUACAUCAGCUGGAGUUAUACGUGAUUUUGCUGGACCAUAUCAUGUUUCUGAAAACCAAAUGGCAUUUGGAGAGCCAACAAAAUAUUGGCAAUUAGAUUAUUCACGAGCGCGUGGCGGUUUAGCUGGAUGGGAUGCUGCUGUUUCUGAAGCCAGUGAUAUUUAUAAAAAAAAAAUGCAUAAUUUAUUUUGCGAUAAUUGCCAUUCGCAUGUAGCAACUGCUUUAGAUUUAAUGAAUUAUGACAACUCAAGUAACUGGAAUAUGGUUAAACUCGCAUUUUUCAUUUUAAUAAAAGGAAAAUAUGUUAGCUUUUUAGGAUUUGUUAAAACAUGGCUGCCUUUUGUUAUCAUUGUAACAAUUAUAACAAUAUUUAUCACUGUCUUUUGAGUAAAUCAAAUAGGAAAAUUUAAACAAUUAAUUUGCUUUUCAUUCAUUACCUGGGAUUUACAAUGACAUUUAAUCACUCUUCCAUUUCAUUGAUAACACCCUUUUCAACACUAAAAUCAUACUGAUAAUCUUCACUCAUGAUUCGUGAAAUAAAAUUUGAAAUUUCAUCAACACGAAGUCUAUCUAAUUCAGGAUCUUUAUCUAAUUCUUUAUUCAAUU